rnacentral:rRNA from 1 species
UACAGAGGUCUCAAGCGUUGUCCGGAUUUACUGGGCGUAAAGAGCGCGCAGGCGGUCGUUCAAGUCGCGUGUGAAAGCCCCCCGGCUCAACUGGGGAGGGUCACGCGAUACUGAUCGACUCGAAGGCAGGAGAGGGGAGUGGAAUUCCCGGUGUAGCGGUGGAAUGCGUAGAUAUCGGGAGGAACACCAGUGGCGAAGGCGACUCUCUGGCCGUGUAACUGACACUGAGGCGCGAAAGCGUGGGGAGCGAACAGG